UUUGAUUUCCACAUCAGGUGUGUGCGU
rnacentral:piRNA from 1 species